rnacentral:rRNA from 1 species
UACGGGGGGGGCAAGCGUUGUUCGGAAUUACUGGGCGUAAAGGGCUCGUAGACGGCCAACUAAGUCAUACGUGAAAUCCCUCGGCUUAACCGGGGAACUGCGUCUGAUACUGGAUGGCUUGAGAUUGGGAGAGGGAUGCGGAAUUCCAGGUGUAGCGGUGAAAUGCGUAGAUAUACGGAGGAACACCAGCGGCGAAGGCGGGUAGCUGGGCCAACACUGACGCUAAAGCGCGAAAGCUAGGGUAGCAAACGGG